rnacentral:rRNA from 1 species
UCCGGUUGAUCCUGCCGGAGGCCAUUGCUAUCGGAGUCCGACUUAGCCAUGCUAGUCGUACGGGUUUAGACCCGUGGCAUAUAGCUCAGUAACACGUGGCCAAACUACCCUACAGACCACCAUACCCUCGGGAAACUGAGGCUAAUAGUGGAUACGGCUCUCACGCUGGAACAGCAGAGAGCCGGAAACGCUCCGGCGCUGUAGGAUGUGGCUGCGGCCGAUUAGGUAGACGGUGGGGUAACGGCCCACCGUGCCGAUAAUCGGUACAGGUUGUGAGAGCAAGAGCCUGGAGACGGAAUCUGAGACAAGAUUCCGGGCCCUACGGGGCGCAGCAGGCGCGAAACCUUUACACUGCACGCCAGUGCGAUAGGGGGACUCCGAGUGCGAGGGCAUAUCGCCCUCGCUUUUCUGUACCGUAAGGUGGUACAGGAAUAAGGACUGGGCAAGACCGGUGCCAGCCGCCGCGGUAAUACCGGCAGUCCAAGUGAUGGCCGAUAUUAUUGGGCCUAAAGCGUCCGUAGCUGGCCGAGCAAGUCUGUCGGGAAAUCCAGUAGCUCAACUACUGGACGUCCGGUGGAAACUGCUCGGCUUGGGACCGGAAGACUCGAGGGGUACGUCCGGGGUAGGAGUGAAAUCCUAUAAUCCUGGACGGACCACCAAUGGCGAAAGCACCUCGAGAAGACGGAUCCGACAGUGAGGGACGAAAGCUAGGGUCUCGAACCGGAUUAGAUACCCGGGUAGUCCUAGCUGUAAACGAUGCUCGCUAGGUAUGACACAGGCUACGAGCCUGUGUUAUGCCGAAGUGAAGACGAUAAGCGAGCCGCCUGGGAAGUACGUCCGCAAGGAUGAAACUUAA